UCGUCGGGCCGACGAUACAUUGAGCGGGGGUGGAUUGUAGCGGUGUGGAAUAGUGCACCUGUGCCUUUAAGGGCUCUACUCUCCAGUCGUUGUCAUUAGUAAACUGAGUGGACACAGCGGGGUGGGCUCUUUAUAAGGUGACUGCCACCGUGGGCCAGGUAUGCAGCAGGGGUUGAGCUAGUCGUUUGGCUUUUCCGGUGGUGGUGACUCUUCCGGUCAUUAGGCUGUUCCGGUCGGUGGUUCUCUCCUGGGUGGCAGCCGGUUUUGAGAUUUCGCUCCGGUACAGAGGAUUAUCGAUCGCUCUGCGUUGUGUUGUGUUGUGCUGUGCUGUGCUGUGCUUUGCACUGGGUGCGUUCUAAGGGCUUUGCGCCCCUGAGUGUUUUUGAUCAUCGUGACCGCAGUCACAUAGGUCUCGUGGGCAGACUCGUUCCCCCCCCCUCCCCACGCAUUGUUUGGUCGUCGUCCAGUGUGUGUGCUAACCCUUUCCGCUGUGGUUGUAGGGUGCUGAUCGCCAGGGUCAUCCUUUGCUUGCUGCUGUUUUGCCUCUGUUUGUUCUUCCUUAUUGAUUGCCGUGUCUUGUCAUUGUGUCUUGGUG